rnacentral:rRNA from 1 species
GAUGAACGCUGGCGGCGUGCUUAACACAUGCAAGUCGAACGAGAAGUGAAGACGGAAACCUUCGGGCGGAAGGCUUUAUUUCGAGUGGCGGACGGGUGAGUAACGCGUGGGUAACCUGCCUCAUACAGGGGGAUAACAGUUGGAAACGACUGUUAAUACCGCAUAAGACCACAGCACCGCAUGGUGCGGGGGUAAAAACUCCGGUGGUAUGAGAUGGACCCGCGUUCGAUUAGCCAGUUGGCGGGGUAACGGCCCACCAAAGCGACGAUCGAUAGCCGAUCGGGGAGGAGGCCCGGCCACAUUGGGACAGGGACACGGCCCAAACUCCUACGGGAGGCAGCAGUGGGGAAUAUUGCACAAUGGGGGAAACCCAGAAGCGGCGCCGCCGGGUGAGUGAAGAAGUUUUUGGGAAUGUAAAGCUCUUUCAGCAGGGAAGAAAAGGAGGGAACCGGAGAAAGAGCCCCGGGCAAAUAAGGG